AUUUUCGCGAGUUAUCAAGGUAACCGGUACUCUUUGAAAAACCACCAUUACGCAACUAAUAAAAGAUAACAAGAAAGGAUCGUUAACGUUAAAAUAACAGUUAUAUCCUCGAGCAAAUGUAUAUCUCGUCCGAAUUAUCGUUUUAUGGAUGUGUAACGUAUUAGCUAACUGCUUGUAUUAAGGCUGCCACGAAAGAUAGAUGAAUUCAAUUACGAGAUCACGAUUAAUCACUUGUCAAUAUAAGCAAGCCUUCUUCGAUUGGUUGACAAAUUUUUCGUCAUCAAGAUUUAAGCGAUGAAAAAACUGUAUUAAUAAAUAAGUACUCGAAGAGAAUGUUAUAGUUAGAUUACAUAUAAUCACGCGUAUUUGUCUUGCACUUCCCGAUAACGCGAUUUUUCCAAACACUUACAAAUCCGCAAUCGAAACAAACAUAGUGAUGCAUAAAACUAGUCAAGUAGAAUCCUUUAGUAUUCUAUUAAUGAAACCAAAUUUGCGCAUAGAGUUAUAAAUAUUAUACUUGUACAAAAUAGUUUAGGAUUUAUUUUGUGCAAUGAUCGAAAUAACGUUAAAGAUACGAUGAGAUAGCUUUAAGUUAAUGUCACGAGAAUAAUUUCGCAACAUGAAAACAAGUGUGCAGUAUGCGCGAACAAAAACUACGGGAUUAUCGUAGACGAAAUGAGGAACGGAGUGAUACGCGAGUCUAUCGAGUGCAUAUUAAUCUAUGUACGUAUACACACGAAUAUGUAUAUCGUCAUACUACACUUGUUCGUGCACUCGCGUUUCCAAACUUCAUCUCUCAACUCAUCCAAAAAUUUUUGUGCGAACGUACGUAACUUUACAAUGGAAAAGUGCCAGCGACGUUGAAUAUACUGUGUGUAAAUCGGUAAUGAAUCUGUAAUUGAAGAUAAAGUGUACGUUUGAAUGUAAACAAAUACGCAUAAUACAGCUCAUUGGAUGUAUCUCUAUAAUCUAGUAUAUUUGAAUGUAUCUCUAAUCUAUAAUAGAAAAGUAUCGUAAGUUACUUAUACCAUUCACUUUGAAAGUUCGCACUCUGUUAAAAAUCAAGAAACAGUGUGCGUUUUGUUUUCGAAACUACAUAGAUGCAUCGUUGCCAUUGAUGCAUCGUUUGAGCGAAUACGAAAUAUUUUAUUGAAAAUUAAUUAACCGUAAGACGUAUUGAAAAGUUACAAAUUCCGCGCGUAAAUAUUGCACACAUCUAUUCUGUAUGAAAACAUACAUAUUUUCCAUAAAUAUCAAAUCAGGUUCGUUAAUUUACUUUGAAACUUUUAAUAGAUUACAGAGAGAAAUAAAUGACUUAUAAAACUACCAAUGCAUAUAUAUGUAUAUGUGCGUAAUUAUGUUUUAAUGACUAUCGCGUGUAAUCGCAAGGGAUAUGUUUACUCAACGAUAAUUGAAAACAGACAGAUAAUCUCGUGCAAUAUAAGUACAAAUGAAAUGAAAAACUACCAAAUUUUUAUUUUUAGUGAUUGAUAACUAUAUUUUUUUUUAAUAUCACAGUUAAUAUCGAAGUUUAAUCCACGAAAAAUGUUAAAUAUAUUAAAUAAUAAAUAACUGACAUACACUGACGACAUGAAAACUCUAAAAUCAGUUUCAUUACAUCAUCAUUCAUUACAUCGUAUUGACUGUGUCUCCAUCGUCUCCGUCGUCGUAAGUGCCAAUUUGUGCAAGCGCGACAAGGUCGUUUAUUUAAACGUUGUUAAACGUUCGAUAUCAGAAAGUCAAGUCGAUCGACUUAUAUACAUACAUGACCUAUGCGUAUAAAACUUGGCAAGUAUACAUAUGUCAGACAGGAACGUAUAAUAUAACCUCUUUUCUCGAAGCUGUAAAAGAUGAUGUUUUUUAUUAAUAAACUUUCCAUUACUCAAAAAUUGCUAUCUAUCCCUAUUGCUGUUAUUGGAUAUUAUUUAGAAGGGUUUAUAUCCUGCCGUUAUACACCUCCAACUGCACCAGUAAUAGAGCAACGCGAAGAAAGAUUAUUAGCUAAUAUGAAUUCUAUGUCUGAUGAAAAAAGUCAUUCUCCGUUGGAAAUUAAUCUUCCACCCUCCUUGUCUGUAUAAUUAUUUAUAUAAUUUAAGUAUGUAUUAGGAAAGAAUGUAAUGCAUAACAUACUUUUAUUCCAAUGAUUAGAACAUAAUAGUCAAAAUACAAUUGUAUCAUAUACAGAGAAUAAGUAUUUCUUAUGCUACUACUCCAAACUUGUAUAUAACAGUAUGACGAUAAAGCUGUCCAGGUUCAAGUAUGCUAUUUGGAAAAUUUUUCUUAUUCUCAUUGCGUUCGUCAUAUUCGUCGAAACGGGGAAAUAAAAACGAAAUUUUUCGGAUAGCCUAGUAGCCUGGACGGAACAAAAUUUACGUGUCCUCUCGAUAUAUCGAGUAACUUAAUAGUGUGUUGUUAUCAUCGUUUGUUUUCGAUGGCCUCAUCAAAAAUAAAUUGUUAUUCGAGAUAACAUGUA